AUUUAAAUAGUUUAUAAAAAUUUUGAUUUGUGGAGUCAAAGAUAUAGCUUGGCUAUUUUAAAUA
rnacentral:tRNA from 1 species